rnacentral:rRNA from 1 species
CCUACGGGUGGCAGCAGUGGGGGAUAUUGCACAAUGGGGGAAACCCUGAUGCAGCGACGCCGCGUGUGGGAUGACGGUCCUCUGGAUUUAAAACCACUGUCGCCAGGGACGAAGAUGACGGUACCUGGGGAGGAAGCUCCGGCUAACUACGUGCCAGCAGCCGCGGUAAAACGUAGGGAGCGAGCGUUGGCCGGAAUUACGGGGUGUAAAGGGAGCGUAGGGGGGGAUGCAAGUGGGGUGUCAAAACUACCGGCUCAACUGGUAGUCGCACUCAAAACUGCAGCUCUUGAGUGAAGUAGAGGCAGGCGGAAUUCCUAGUGUAGCAGUGAAAUGCGUAGAUAUUAGGAGGAACACCAGUGGCGAAGGCGGCCUGCUGGGCUUUUACUGACGCUGAGGCUCGAAAGUGUGGGGAGCAAACAGGAUUAGAUACCCUUGUAGUC